GCCGGCGUGGCGGAAUUGGUAGACGCAGCAGACUCAAAAUCUGCCGCCCGCAAGGGUGUGGGAGUUCGAGUCUCCCCGCCGGCA
rnacentral:tRNA from 1 species